rnacentral:lncRNA from 1 species
AAACUCACUGUGCAAGGUUUAAACUUUUUACAGGUAAAGAGGAUAUUCUAAGCUUCCUCAGGCCUCAUCAGUCUAUGGAAACAGUCACCUUAAUAACAAUAGUUCAAGUUCCACAUAUUUCUGCUCUCACCUACAGAAUCUAAGACUGUGCAAGAUGCCAUCCAAAUGUAUUGUGUUUAGGAGCAUAUCCUCUCCCACUGGGCUGUGUACUGCUCACCCACUCUAGGUCUACCAGGACCUGCAUUCACCUGAUCGGCUACCAGCAAACUGCCACUACACUGCUCCUCAUGCACCACUCUUCUAGCAGGUUCUCCACUGAGUCCCUGGAUCCCUAGAGGUGUUCCUUGGUGAAAUCAAGGAGAAUAGUUCUCAGCUUUGUGCUACCUUCCAGAAGCACCCAAGAGUCUAGGCACAAGAUCAAAAAGCAAGCAGCAGACGCCCACGCUCCGCGAGGCCGGGGCAGGGCUGGGCCGCAGCCGGGGUCACGAGAGGAAGAACCCUGCACCCCCACCGGCGGCCCUCGGGGACCCACGAGUCAGCCGCUACCGGAGUCCACUCUGUCCGCCUUCAGCUCCGUCCGCCGCGCAGAGACGCCCACGGAGAAGGCCCCAGUCCCUGCCAUGCUGGGCCU